rnacentral:rRNA from 1 species
UACGUAGGGGGCUAGCGUUGUCCGGAAUCAUUGGGCGUAAAGCGCGCGUAGGCGGCCCGGUAAGUCCGCUCUGAAAGUCCAGGGCUCAACCCUGGAAUGCGGGUGGAUACUGCCGGGCUAGAGUCCGGAAGAGGAGAGUGGAAUUCCUGGUGUAGCGGUGAAAUGCGCAGAUAUCAGGAAGAACACCAAUGGCGAAGGCAGCUCUCUGGGACGGUACUGACACUGAGACGCGAAAGCGUGGGGGAGCGAACAGG